GACAGAGGUGCCGAGCGUUAGGCGGAAUCACUGGGCUUAAAGCGUGUGUAGGCGGGUGCCUAAGUACCUUGUGAAAUCCCACGGCUCAACCGUGGAACGGCUCGGUAUACUGGUUGUCUUGAGCCAGCUAGGGGCGAGCGGAACAGACGGUGGAGCGGUGAAAUGCGUAGAUAUCGUCUGGAACGCCGAAGGUGAAAACAGCUCGCUGGGGCUGCGCUGACGCUGAGACACGAAAGCCAGGGGAGCGAACGGG
rnacentral:rRNA from 1 species